UACGGAGGGUGCAAGCGUUAAUCGGAAUUACUGGGCGUAAAGCGUGCGUAGGCGGUUCGUUAAGUCUGUUGUGAAAGCCCCGGGCUCAACCUGGGAGUGGCAAUGGAUACUGGCGAGCUAGAGUGUGUCAGAGGAUGGUGGAAUUCCCGGUGUAGCGGUGAAAUGCGUAGAGAUCGGGAGGAACAUCAGUGGCGAAGGCGGCCUGCUGGGCUGUUGCUGACGCUGAGGCGCGACAGCGUGGGGAGCAAACAGG
rnacentral:rRNA from 1 species